ACGAGCUGGUGAUCUGAAUGCUAACCUGAGUUUCCAGCUACCUUUAACCCCUCCUUGUUUGUUACUGCUUCUGUGGCAUAGUCAUCUUCUAGAUGGCUUUGCCUGUCUUGUGGGGCAACAGCAUCUUAAUUACCCUAACGCUCGUUUUUUCUUUGAGACCUGGUCUUGUUUAUGUGUAUCUUGGCUGGCUUGUUACUUGAUAUGUAUGUAGCCCAGGCUGGCCUUGAACAGUUCUCCUGCCUCAGUAAGUGCUGUGAUUACAGGCAUCUACCAUCACACCUAUUUGUCUUUGUCUGGAUGAAUAUGUGUGUGUAAUGAUUUUCUUUUUUCUUUUUGAGACAGGGUUUCUCUGUGUAGCCAUGGCUUGCCUGGAACUUGCUCUAUAGACUAGGCUGGCCUUAAAGUCAAGAGAUCUGCCUCUCUCUGCUUCCUGAGUGCUGGAAUUAAAGGCAUAUGCUUGACCAAUAAAGAACGCUUGUUUUUGUUUUUGUUUUUUUUUUUGUUGUUUCUUUAGAUUUUCUUUCUUUCUUAAUUAUAUGUAUACAAAUGUUUGACUGCAUGUAUGUCUGUGCACCACUUGUAUGCAGUUCCCUUUGCAGGCCAGAGAGGGUUUUGGAUACCCUGGAACUGGAGUUACAGAUAGUUGUAAGAGACCAUGUGGUGCUGGGAACCAAACCCAGGUGCUCUCCCAAGAGCAUCAGGAACUCUUUACCUGCUAAGCCAUCGCUCCAUAUGUUUUAUUUUAUGUGUUUCAUUGUUUUGCCUGCGUGUAUGUAUGUACCAUGUGUGUGCCUAGUGCUUUUGAAGAGAAGGUUUUAUUGAGUAGACCAGAUUGCCUUCAAAAUCAUAAGUGGCCUGCUCUGCCUCCUAAGUACUGGGAUUAAAGGCAUGUGCCACCAUACCUGACUCUUACUUAUUUUGGCUUAAUUGUGAGUUUAUAAAUAUACCAGGCAUAGUAGUGCACACCUUUAAUCCCAGCAUUUGGGAGGCAAAGUCAGGUGCAAGGACAGCUAGAGCUUUACAGACCCAGUUUCCAGGGGGGAAAAAAAGAUGUUAAACCACCCACAUUAUAUUUAUUUCAAUCAUUGUGCAUGGGGGUGUGUAUGAUAUGUGUGUGUGUGUGUGUAUUUGCAUGUGCCAGGUGUAUGUGUGGAAGUUAGAGAACAACUUCUGAGAGUUGUUUUUUUUAAGAUUUAUUUAUUAUUAUAUGUAAGUUCACUGUACCUGUCUUCAGACACCAGAAGAGGGAAUCAGGUCUUAUUACCAAAUCCCC
rnacentral:lncRNA from 1 species